GGUGAGAUGGCUCAGUGGGUAAGAGCACCCGACUGCUCUUCUGAAGGUCCUGAGAUCAAAUCCCAGCAACCA
rnacentral:tRNA from 1 species